UAGCAGUAUAUUUUUUUUCAACUGAAAAAGACUGGAAUUUGGCAGGCAAAAUCUAUAGAGAUUGAUGGCCCUUUUAAGCCGGGAACCUAAUUAAUUGGCGAAGAUGAUGAAUGCGACUGAGAGUUCUGCUCUGCUGCACCCGGGCUCUCCAUGCACGCCCAGAUCAGGUCAUCUUCAUCAAGGCAUCAACUCAUCUGCCAGUGAGAAGAUUGCCCCUGCACUGCUGAUUCACAAGGACCUUCAGCUCCAGAUUUGAACUGUGGAGACAUCCAACGUUAUGGGCUGAGCAGCUAUCGGUUUCUCAACCCCUCCAGCAUCUAGACAAACACCGUUGGAUAACCCAGGUCAUCUAGCAUUAGCAUCAUAAUUCAGCAAAGAGCUGCUUCUGACUUGGAGAAGGUCUACACUGGAUGAGGUCGAAAGGCUGGGCUUUUUUUCCUGAUCAUGAGGAUUGCUCAGAGUCAAAAGUACAACCAGGUCAGAGGGACCUAGAGUUAGAGUAGCUUUAAGCCCUGACUGGUUACUUCCUAUAUAUAGUGACCUUGGACAAAACACUGAAGCUCUCUUAGACUGCAGUUUAUCAUUCAUAGACUCUGGUAAAGAGAACAUGACUGUACAGUUUGAAUAAAAAAUUAAUAGUUUUCUAUGUGCAAAAGAUUCAUCUCUAAAGAUAUAGAUUUUGCAAGUGAUUUUUUUCCCACUUUACCCAGGACGAUCUGACUUCUAACCUUUAAAUUUAACAUUUACAGACUUAUACUUAGGUACCUAUGGAAAUACACCAGAGAUAUACUUUCAAACCCAGACCCUAUUCAAGCACAAACUCUGCCUAAAUUUGAGAAGCAGGAAAAGGCUCACCCAAGCAUUCACAUUACUUGGAAAGUUAACACUUUUUUUGGAACCAGAUCUGAUGUCCCCAAUGUUCUCCGAGGAUUCUUUUAAUUCAACUGGAGGCUGCCGCCGAGUAAUACAAUUAGCUUCUCGUUGACAGAGCUCUUUUUCUUUGAUCUCCUGUGUUCAUUCUUCCAAAAGCAACUCAAUUGCUUCUCCUGAUGAAUUUCUCACUGUAUAUAUACUUAAUAGAAUUGAAAACCAGCAGGUCGCCAUAUAAGGAGACAUCAGAUGAGCUAUUAAAAUAACAUUCUUUUUCUAAGACAGGAUUUGGUCUACCUAAACCAACCUUAUCUGAGUGCAAAAUAGGAAGGAAGAAGUGAACAAACACGGAACUGUCCUCAAAGGCCAUGCGUAGAACAUUGCCACUACUGAUGGCUAGUGUCCUGAAUCCAGGUAGAAUAUUUACUUAGUUUUACCUAGAGGAGCUCUAAAGCUACAUAGUCCUUCAGAGUUGUUCCAGUGUGGGGCUGGAUGGAAACCUUUCUUCUCCCGCAUGUACUGGCCACUACCUGAAAACAAUUAGUCAAUGGGCAAGGUAGAAGACAAA
rnacentral:lncRNA from 1 species